GGUACACGAGCGGCGAACGGGUGAGUAACACGUGGGUGAUCUGCCCUGCACUUCGGGAUAAGCCUGGGAAACUGGGUCUAAUACCGGAUAUGACCUCCUGUUGCAUGACUUGGGGUGGAAAGAUUUAUCGGUGCAGGAUGGGCCCGCGGCCUAUCAGCUUGUUGGUGGGGUAAUGGCCUACCAAGGCGACGACGGGUAGCCGACCUGAGAGGGUGACCGGCCACACUGGGACUGAGACACGGCCCAGACUCCUACGGGAGGCAGCAGUGGGGAAUAUUGCACAAUGGGCGAAAGCCUGAUGCAGCGACGCCGCGUGAGGGAUGACGGCCUUCGGGUUGUAAACCUCUUUCAGCAGGGACGAAGCGCAAGUGACGGUACCUGCAGAAGAAGCACCGGCUAACUACGUGCCAGCAGCCGCGGUAAUACGUAGGGUGCAAGCGUUGUCCGGAAUUACUGGGCGUAAAGAGUUCGUAGGCGGUUUGUCGCGUCGUUUGUGAAAACCAGCAGCUCAACUGCUGGCUUGCAGGCGAUACGGGCAGACUUGAGUACUGCAGGGGAGACUGGAAUUCCUGGUGUAGCGGUGAAAUGCGCAGAUAUCAGGAGGAACACCGGUGGCGAAGGCGGGUCUCUGGGCAGUAACUGACGCUGAGGAACGAAAGCGUGGGUAGCGAACAGGAUUAGAUACCCUGGUAGUCCACGCCGUAAACGGUGGGCGCUAGGUGUGGGUUCCUUCCACGGAAU
rnacentral:rRNA from 1 species